UUUAAUUAGACACUAUUAAAACAUUUAGAAAUCUAGUAAUAGCGAUCGAAAAUUUGUGUAAUAUAAUUUUAUUAAGUACUGCAGAGGAAGUAUAUAUAUAAUUAAGUAGAAGUAAAAACUUUAGUUUGUACCUUUUGCAUCAUGGCCUGGCUAGAUUUAAACUUUAAUUAUAAGUUUCUUCGAAAUCUAAUGAGCUAUUUUAUCUCUUAUAUCUAGUAAAAUUAAGAGUAGUUGUGGAAUAAACUUUCUGAAAGAUGAAAAUAGAAAUGAAAUUUUAUUCGUGUUAGGUGAUAGCUAGUUUUCCUGAAAGGUAUAGAAGUACUUUGAAUUAGAUUUUAAAGAUAAUUUAUAUUGUCAAAUAAUUUUUAAUUUAGCAAAGUUUACAAGGAUAAGCUUGUUAACAUAAAUUAAUAUUAGCAUUUAAUUUGAUAUUGAAUUUAGGCUUGAAGAUAGCCACUAUAAAAGAUCUUGUUAUAAUUUCAUUUUAUAAAAAAAAUAUGAUAAAUCUGCUUUAUUAUUUAACGGAAAAAACUACUAACAUCUUGUGUAAGUUAUGUUAAUGCUAGGAUGAGUAUUAACAACAUAUGUAGACUUAUUAUAAAUUAAAAUAAUAUAAAUCUUUAAAUAAUAUUUCUAAGAAAAACUAUUGUGAAGGAACUUGGCAAAAAGUUAUUCUGCCUGUUUAUCAAAAACAUGGCUCCUUGACUAAAAAGGAUAGGGAGUCGGACCUGCCCGGUGACAUAGUUUUAACGGCCGCGGUACUCUGACCGUGCAAAGGUAGCAUAAUCAUUUGCCUUAUAAUUGAAGGCUGGAAUGAAUGGUUUGACAAGAAUAAGACUGUCUCCACAUAGUUUUAUAAAAUUUAAUUUUUAGGUGAAGAAGCCUAAAUAUAAUUGAAAGACGAGAAGACCCUAUCGAGCUUUAAAGAAGUUAGUAAAACAUAUAAGUAGUUUACCAAAAUACUAAUUAUUAAGGAUUUUAGUUGGGGCGACAAAGGAACCUAUGAAGCUUCCUUUAUUAGAAAGUAAAAUUUUCAGGUAUUGAUCCAAAAUCAUUUUGAUUAAAGGAAAUAGUUACCGUAGGGAUAACAGCAUAAUCUUUCUUGAGAGUUCCUAUCGAAGAAAAGGUUUGUGACCUCGAUGUUGGACCAGAAUAUCCUAAAGAUGCAGCAGUCUUUAAGGGUUGGUCUGUUCGACCAUUAAAAUUCUACGUGAUCUGAGUUCAGACCGGCGUAAGCCAGGUCAGUUUCUAUCUUCAAUUUAAUUUUUAAGUUUAGUACGAAAGGACCAACUUGUAGCAAUCAAUGUUGUAAUAUAAUGAAAAAAUAUAAUCAGAAAUUAAGUUA
rnacentral:rRNA from 1 species